GACCUCCCCUCGAAAGUGGGCCUUGAAGAGCUCCUGUAGGCAGGAAGCAAGGACAGACAGCUGCUCCGAGUCAAAGUCUUCCUCACCUUUGCUGUUGAGAUCCUCUUCAUCGUCACUGAAGGCUGCCUCUGCAUUGUCAUAGCAACUCUCAUCCUUAUCCGACAUAUGGUUGUCCAUCUCCAUGGAAACUGGCUCCUCAAUUUUGACUUGG
rnacentral:lncRNA from 1 species